ensembl:lncRNA
AUGGAGUGUGCCCCUGGAUAUCUGUAAAUGAUGUCUGAGUGAUGGAGUGUGCCCCUGGAUAUCUGUAAAUGAUGUCUGAGUGAAUGAGUGUGCCCCUGGAUAUCUGUAAAUGAUGUCUGAGUGAUGGAGUGUGCCCCUGGAUAUCUGUAAAUGAUGUCUGAGUGAUGGAGUGCACCUCUGGAUAUCUGUAAAUGAUGUCUGAGUGAUGGAGUGUGCCUCUGGAUAUCUGUAAAUUAGGUCUGAGUGAUGGAGUGUGCCCCUGGCUAUCUGUAAAUGAUGUCUGGGUGACGGAGUGUGCCCCUGGCUAUCUGUAAAUGAUGUCUGAGUGAAUGAGUGUGCCCCUGGAUAUCUGUAAAUGAUGUCUGAGUGAUGGAGUGUGCCCCUGAUAUCUGUAAAUUAUGUCU